rnacentral:rRNA from 1 species
AUUCGAUGAUACGCGAGGAACCUUACCAGGGCUUAAAUGUAGUCUGACAGGUCUGGAAACAGACUUUUCUUCGGACAGAUUACAAGGUGCUGCAUGGUUGUCGUCAGCUCGUGCCGUGAGGUGUCAGGUUAAGUCCUAUAACGAGCGCAACCCCUGUGGUUAGUUGCCAGCGAGUAAUGUCGGGAACUCUAGCCAGACUGCCGGUGCAAACCGCGAGGAAGGUGGGGAUGACGUCAAAUCAUCACGGCCCUUACGUCCUGGGCCACACACGUGCUACAAUGGUAGGGACAGAGAGCAGCCACUUCGCGAGAAGGAGCGAAUCUACAAACCCUAUCACAGUUCGGAUCGCAGUCUGCAACUCGACUGCGUGAAGCUGGAAUCGCUAGUAAUCGCA